UGUGGGCCUCCUGGCAGCUCCUUCCUGGGGCAAAGGGCCAAAAUCCUGACAAGAUUAAGAAGAGGCUUUGGGACUGGGCCAGGCUGGGAAAACAGGAAGGAUGACGAACUAAACCCCCCUCCUUCUCCUUCUGGGGCUUGUUUAUUCCAGUUUUUCCUCAGCGGAGUUUUCUGGACACACAGUAACCCUUGACUUUUCAUCCAGUGUCCAGUCUCUGGCCGCACAGCACCUAAUGCACCCGUUGGUCAUGGAGCUCAUGGGAUGGGCUUGUUCCCGUGUCUGCUUGGCCAACUUCACCGAACUCCUAGAAAGCAGGAAGAACAGAUUUGUCUUAACUGAGUGCCUACCACAUUCCACAGGAGGAACUGUCCUCUCACACAAGCCUCUCCAGCUCCCUGGGGUAAGAAAAUCGACACAGAGACACUUUAAACUUGCACUUAGGAAGUGGCCAAGUGGGGAUCUGAGCCCUGCUGUUUGGCUCUGGAUGCCGCCUCUUGCCCAGAGCCUCCCCUGCUGUGUAACCUGUCGUCCCUCCCUCCUGUGACCGAGCCCCUUCCACCCAUCAUCAGGCGACGCUGAACUUGUUUUAGGGGUGGCUGAGCAGCGUUCUAAGAGAAGCAUGCGAGGCUGCUUGAGGUCUGACUCCGGACUGGCGUGAUGUCACUUUCCAGCACAUUUUGUUGGGCAAAGUAUGUCCUGAGGCCAGCCUAGAUUCCAGGAGUGGAGAAAUGGACUUCAUCCCUUGUUGGGAGCGGCUAUAAAGUCACAUUGUGAGGGAUGUGGAUAUAAGGAGGGGGGAAUUGGGACCCCAUUUGCAAUAAAUCUAUCACAACUUUGGUUAUCUGUACAAUGUUUGUUCUUAGCACUAAAAUGAUCUCUACAUGCUACAGAGAAGCAACAUCACUGUAUGAAAUUCAUGGUGUGUAUUAUUAUUAUACACUAGCAUCUUAGGUGUA